AUUAUGAUGAAAUAUACACCACAUAAAAAUGACCAGUUAAGCCGAAACUGGUUUGGCUCAGUGGGUAGAGCGUCAGCCUGCGGACUCAAGGGUCCCAGGUUCGAUUCUGGUCAAAAGCAUGUACCUUGGUUGCAGGCACAUCCCCUGUAGGGGGUGUGCAAGA